ACCGUGAGGGAAAGUUGCAAAGCACUUUGAAGAGAGAGUUAAAGAGGACGUGAAACCGGUAAGGUGGAAACGGAUAGAGUCGGCGUAUCAUUCAAUUAUUCAGUUACAUUAUUUUUAUGUUGUGACCUCUGAGCUCCAGAUUGGGACAGAGGGAAUCAGCAUAAUUUUUUGUGGUGCAUUUACUUGAUUGGUGCUUGGGGAUGUUUGAGGCAGAUUUGUUUCCGUCGUUUUGAGGCCAGCUUGCUGGUACCCAAACGGUGUUAGCAUUUUUUGUCUUGGGCAUUUGAGUAUGGCUCACGUGUAUUUAUUGGACAGAUCUGAGUGUAAGUUACGGUCGCAUGCGACACGUGCUUUUCAAUUAGUUCGGUCCAGUUAAUGCUCUCGUACUCGUUCCCCAUGUAAAAGCCGGUCAUCUAUCCGACCCGUCUUGAAACACGGACCAAGGAGUUUAUCGUGUGCGCAAGUUUUUGGGUGUUAAAAACUUAAAAGCGAAAUGAAAGUAAAUGACUCUUUAGAGUCUGAUGUGCGAUCUUGUAAAAAAGUGUAGCAUGGCCCCAUUCUAACUGUUUACAGUAGGGUGGCGGAAGAGCGUACGCGGUGAGACCCGAAAGAUGGUGAACUAUUCCUGAGCAGGACGAAGCCAGGGGAAACUCUGGUGGAAGUCCGAAGCGGUUCUGACGUGCAAAUCGAUCGUCUGACUUGGGUAUAGGGGCGAAAGACUAAUCGAACCAUCUAGUAGCUGGUUCCUUCCGA
rnacentral:rRNA from 1 species